rnacentral:rRNA from 1 species
CCUACGGGCGGCUGCAGUGGGGAAUAUUGCACAAUGGGCGCAAGCCUGAUGCAGCCAUGCCGCGUGUGUGAAGAAGGCCUUCGGGUUGUAAAGCACUUUCAGCGGGGAGGAAGGCGUUAAGGUUAAUAACCUUGUCGAUUGACGUUACCCGCAGAAGAAGCACCGGCUAACUCCGUGCCAGCAGCCGCGGUAAUACGGAGGGUGCAAGCGUUAAUCGGAAUUACUGGGCGUAAAGCGCACGCAGGCGGUCUGUCAAGUCGGAUGUGAAAUCCCCGGGCUCAACCUGGGAACUGCAUUCGAAACUGGCAGGCUAGAGUCUUGUAGAGGGGGGUAGAAUUCCAGGUGUAGCGGUGAAAUGCGUAGAGAUCUGGAGGAAUACCGGUGGCGAAGGCGGCCCCUGGACAAAGACUGACGCUCAGGUGCGAAAGCGUGGGGAGCAAACAGGAUUAGAUACCCGUGUAGUC